rnacentral:misc_RNA from 1 species
UUGCAAAUUUCCGCAAGGUUGCUGUUGUGGUAUUUCCAAAACCAGAGGAGCAGAAAUUUCGUGCGGAUAAAAGAUAUAAAGAAAUGGGAAAGGAAGUUCCAGCUGAUGCUGUGAACAAUAUGUUAGCUAAUUAUGUUCUGCCCAAGAGCAAGGAUAUGCCUGGUUCAGAUGAAUUUUUUGAUCAGGUAAUAUUUGCUGAACUGGGUCAAGUAGAAUCACAGAGAUAUUUAGAGGAGAUGAAGCAUGGUCUAAAUACCAACUCUGCACCAUAUUACGAGGAAACUUUUGUUGGUUCAUCAGUGGGGCAGCCUUCAGUGCAAAAUCAAG